rnacentral:rRNA from 1 species
UAUAAGCAAUCUAUACGGUGAAACUGCGAAUGGCUCAUUAAAUCAGUUAUCGUUUAUUUGAUAGUACCUUACUACUUGGAUAACCGUGGUAAUUCUAGAGCUAAUACAUGCUAAAAACCCCGACUUACGAAGGGGUGUAUUUAUUAGAUAAAAAACCAAUGCCCUUCGGGGCUCCUUGGUGAUUCAUAAUAACUUAACGAAUCGCAUGGCCUUGUGCCGGCGAUGGUUCAUUCAAAUUUCUGCCCUAUCAACUUUCGAUGGUAGAGUAGUGGUCUACCAUGGUUUCAACGGGUAACGGGGAAUUAGGGUUCUAUUCCGGAGAGGGAGCCUGAGAAACGGCUACCACAUCCAAGGAAGGCAGCAGGCGCGCAAAUUACCCAAUCCCGACACGGGGAGGUAGUGACAAUAAAUACUGAUACAGGGCUCUUUUGGGUCUUGUAAUUGGAAUGAGUACAAUUUAAAUCCCUUAACGAGGAACAAUUGGAGGGCAAGUCUGGUGCCAGCAGCCGCGGUAAUUCCAGCUCCAAUAGCGUAUAUUAAAGUUGUUGCAGUUAAAAAGCUCGUAGUUGAACCUUGGGCCUGGCUGGCCGGUCCGCCUCACCGCGUGCACUGGUCCGGCCGGGUCUUUCCUCCUGGGGAGCUGCAUGCCCUUCACUGGGUGUGUCAGGGAACCAGGACUUUUACUUUGAAAAAAUUAGAGUGUUCAAAGCAGGCCUAUGCUCGAAUACAUUAGCAUGGAAUAAUAGAAUAGGACGUGUGGUUCUAUUUUGUUGGUUUCUAGGACCGCCGUAAUGAUUAAUAGGGAUAGUCGGGGGCAUCAGUAUUCAAUUGUCAGAGGUGAAAUUCUUGGAUUUAUUGAAGACUAACUACUGCGAAAGCAUUUGCCAAGGAUGUUUUCAUUAAUCAGUGAACGAAAGUUAGGGGAUCGAGACGAUCAGAUACCGUCGUAGUCUUACCAUAAACUAUGCCGACUAGGGAU